GCUGGUAAUGGUCACACUAGGUGGCGUCCGCGUGAGGUGGAGGUGUCAGCGGCUCCUGUCUGCAGCUUCCUGGGGUCCUGGCGGCGCUCUUCUCCUGAGCCAGAAUCCAGCAGGAAGGACAGAAUGGGCGCUAGAGUGUGAAAAGAGGGCGAACUCACGUGGAUGUGACUCUCCGGGUCGCUCUUCCCUGUCACCCAGCUCCUCCUGCCGGUUUCCUGUGGGCAUCGCCUGCAUUGCUUUUAUCCCGGGGACGGAUUAGGGGGGUCCAGAGGAGGACUUGCUGGCACAAAUAACCCAAUGGAGGCUUUCGAGCACGGCUGGCUGGGGUUUGCGAUCCAACGGCCUUUUGCUGACCUGAAAGUCAACGCAAAGCUCAUCUUCAUUCUAGAGAAAAAGAAGCCUCAUAUCUGAGAUCAGGACCCCGCUUUCUCCUUGACAUUCCACAGCAAAACGUGAACAGCUGAACAAACACACAGUCCGGUUUCCCGAGACCAAAGGGUCAGGGGAAACCCCCGCUGAAAACGUGCAUCAGUGGAACAACUACUCUCUUCCAGGUCCCACCGAGGGCAAAGAGGAGAAAUAGAAUCCCUCACAAGAAAUCCACAACUUCUAGAAAUCCGCAGCACACACAGAACACACUUACCUCUCACAGCUCUACGGACACUUCACACCCCACAGUGGGACCGUCUGAUUGCAUUUGCAUUUUGGGACAUGUAGUCCAGAAAGCUUAAAUGAUGCGAGAAAAACCACAAGUCCCACAAUCCUCCGCGUCUCGCAAUUGACAGCCCCAGAUCAUCCAGGAACGCCCCCUGUCGGCUCUUUCUGGUCAGAGGUUCCCCCGUUAAUAUAAAAGCUUUUAAUCAUGGAUUUUUUUCUUUGUUUUCAAUUUCUGUGGGCACUUAGUAGGUGUAUAUAUUUAUAGUGUACAUAAGAUUUUUUUUCUUUUUUCUUUUUUUUUUUUAAGACGGAGUUGUUGUUUUUUUUUUUUGAAAAAACUCCAGUCUGGAGUGCAGUGGCACGAUCUCGGCUCACUGCAACCUCCCUCUCCCGGGUUCAACCGAUUCUCCUGCCUCAGCCUCCCGAGUAGCUGGGAUUAUUUUUGUAUUUUUAGUAGAGACGGGGGUUUCGCCAUGUUGGCCAGGCUCGUCUUGAACUCCUAACCUCAGGUGAUCCGCACGCCUUGACCUCCCAAAGUGCUGGGAUUAUAGGCGUGAGCCACUGCGCCCGGCCAUCUUUUCUCUUAUUUUUUGUCUUUUUUUCUUUUCUCUGUGCCUGUCUAUGCUUUACCCACAUGAGAUGUUUUGAUACAAACAUGCAAUGUGAAAUGAGCACGUCAUUAAUCAUGGAUCUAGAUUUGACUUUUUUUUAAAGUUUUUGUAUUUUUAGUAGAGACAGAGUUUCACCAUGUUGGCCAGGCUGGUCUCGAACUCCCGACCUCAGGUGAUCCGCCAACCUCGGCCCCCCAAAAUGCUGGGAUUACAGGCCUGAGCCACUGUUCCCGGCCUAGAUUUGACUCAUUCUAAACAUCAGAGUUUGUGAUCCUUUUCAUUCACAACGACAGUAUCAAGUUAUUUGCUAUUGGUAAAAUACCUUGAACUUGUGAAGAAAUGUGUUUAUACAUAUCUGAAAAAGUGAUAGUUUGUUGUUGUUGUUGUUGUUGUUUGUUUGUUUGUUUUUGAGACGGAGUCUCGCUCUGUUGCCCAGGCUGGAGUGCAAUGGUGCCAUUUCGGCUCACUGCAACCUCCGCCUCCCGGGUUCAAGCAAUUCUCCUGCCUCAGCCUCCUGAGUAGCAGGGAUUAUGGGCGCAUGCCACUACGCCCGGUUAAUUUUUUUAUUUUUAGUAGAGACAAGGUUUCACCAUGUUAGCCAGGAUGGUCUUGAUCUCCUGACCUCGUGAUCUGCCCACCCUAGCCUCCCAAAGUACUGGGAUUACAGGCGUAAGCCACUGUGCCCAGCCAAAAGUGAUGUUUUUACAGUUAAUAUGAAGCCAAAUAUAUUAUACCUGGACUAAUGUACUUAACCUGCUUGGCUUCUCCAAUUUUAUUUAUCAUAUUUUUUUUAUUAAGUUAAUCAAACAAGGCCUGCGUCUCACUCCCAGGGAUUCUGAUCUACAAAUUUCCUAAUUGUUCCUAAUGUGUAGACAACCAGAACUGCCGCUCUGCAGCAUCACCUAAAUCAAUAAAUGUAUAAGUGUCUUUGGACAUAAAGGUGGGCGGCCAGCAGGGACCUUGAAGACCACCUAAGGACUCCCUUCCCCCAUUUUAAGAUGAAUUGGGCUGAGUGCAGUGGUUCCCACCUGUAAUACCAACACUUUGGGAGGCCAAGGCAGGAGGAUCACUUGAGCCCAAAAGUUCAAGACCAGCUUGGGCAACAUAGUGAGACCCACUCACUACAAAAAAUAAACAAAAUUAGCGGGGUGUGGUGGUGUGUGCCUGUAGUCCCAGCUACUCAAGAGGCUCAGGUGGGAGGAUCACUUUGAGCCCAGGAGAUCGAGGCUGCAGUGAGCCAUAAUUGUGCGACUGCACUUCAGCCUGGGUGACAAAGUGAGAUCCCAUCUCUUCAAAAAAUAAUAAUAAUAAAUAAAGAUGAACUGAAGUGCAGAGAAGUAAUGUGGAAGCUUGAGAAAGAGUUUUUAGGUUUUUGGUUCUAUCAUUGUAUCUUUGGAGGUAAUAUUGGCAAAAUGACCAUUUAGUAGUUUGCCCAUUUCUGCUUUUUUUUUUUCUUUUUUUUGAGACAGGGUCUCGUUCUGUCACCCAGGCUGGAGUGCAGUUGUGACAUCACAGCUCACUGCAGUUUCUACUUCCCAGGCCCAAGGGAUCCUCCAACCUCAUCCUCUCGAGUAGCUGAGAUCACAGGCAUCCACCACCACGCCCAGCUAAAUUUUGUUAUUUUUUAUUUUUGUCGAGACACGGUCUCACUAUGUUGCUCAGGCUGGUCUCAAACUCCUGAACUCAAGGAAAGCUCUUGCUUUGGCCUCCCAAAGUGCUGGGAUUACAGGUGUGAGCCACCAUGCCGGGCCUGCUUAUUUCGACUUGGCAGCAUCGUUUCAUGAAGCCCCUGACUCUGUGACAACAUACAGCUCUCCAGAAAGAUGCUUUGAAGACAAAACAGAAUAGAGCACACAGCCCUCCAUGUCUCUUCCAAGUCACUAUAUUCAUUAAAAGAUAAAUGACUCUGGUCAUUGCCUUUUCCUGCACAAGAUAAUGUCUGAUGGGGUUAGUGAUGAUACCUCUGUAAUCCAUAACCAGAUAUACUCUUGCACCCAAACUUUGAUAUGAUUGUGCUUUAAUGUAACUUUGAAGCAAGUUUAAUGUGAUUUUGCAGGCGCCGUACACUCACCACUUGUAUAUGAGUGGCUGAAAUUCUGUGUUGGACCAGUCUGAUGGAACUGCUCCCACACUAUAGCCCUCGGUCUGUAAUCCUCAGUAAGACUUGUAAGUAAAACUAACUUUAAUUUUUUUUUUUUUUUUUUGAGAGAGUCUAGCUCUGUUGCCCAGGCUGGAGUGCAGUGGCGCGAUCUUCACUCACUGAAGCCUCUGCCUUCCCGGCUGAAGUGAUUCUGCUGCCUCGGCCUCCGGAGUAGCUAGGAUUACAGGCGCUCGCCACUGCGCCCGGCUAAUUUUUGUAUUUUUAGUAGAGAUGGGGUUUCGUCAUGUUGGCCAGGCUGGUUUUGAACUCGUGACCUCAGGUGACCCACCUGCCUCAGUCUCCUAAAAUGCUAGGAUUACAGGAGUGAGCCACUGCACCCCGCCACUUUUAUUAUUAUUAUUAUUGUAUUUAUUUAUUUAUUUAUUUAUUUUUGAGACGGAGUCUCGCUCUGUCGCCCAGGCUGGAGUGUAGUGGAGAGAUCUCGGCCCACUACAAGCUCCGCCUCCCGGGUUCACGCGAUUCUCCUGCCUCAGCCUCCGGACUACAGGCGCCCGCCACCACACCCGGCUAAUUUUUUGUAUUUUUUUUUUAGUAGAGACGGGGUUUCACCGUGUUAGCCAGGAUGGUCUCUAUCUCUUGACCUCGUGAUCCGCCCGCCUCAGCCUCCCAAAGUACUGGGAUUACAGGCGUGAGCCACCGCGCCCGGCUAUUUAUUUAUUUAUUUAUUUAUUUAUUUAUUUAUUUUUUGAGACGGAAUAUUGCUCUGUGCCCAGGCUGGAGUGCAGUGGCACGAUCUCAGAUCACUGCAACCUCCGCCUCCCGGGUUCAAGUGAUUCUCCUGCCUCAGCCUCCCGAGUAGCUGGGAUUACGGGUGCCCGCCACCAUGCCCGGCUAAUUUUUGUAUUUUUAGUAGAGACGGGGUUUCACCAUGCUUGUCAGCAUGGUCUCGAACUCCUGACCUCGCGAUCCGCCCGCCUCAGCCUCCCAAAGUGCUGGAAUUACAGGCAUGAGCCACUGCGCCCUGCCACUUUAAUUAUUUAAAAGCUUAUUUUUUUAUUUUGGGGACAUGGUCUCACUCUUUCACCCAGGCGGGAGUUCAGAGGCACGAUCACUGCGCACUACAGCCUCAACCUCUUGGACUCAAACCAUCCUCCCACCUCAGCCUCCUGAGUAGCUGGGACUACAGGUGGGCCACCAAGCCCAGCUAAUUUUUGUAUUUUUUUGUAGAGACGGGGUUUCACCAUGUUGCCCAGGCUGGUCUCGAACUCCUGGGCUCUAGGCUUUCCAAAGUGUUGUGAUUACGGGCGUGAGCUACUGCGCCUGGCCGAUUCUUUUUAACUUAGUACACAGGGAGUAGUAGCUCCAGCAACAGCGAAAGUCAGUAGCUGUAGGAUCUACUAGGCGGGGAAACUCAUAUGACAGCCCCCUCCUUUUUUUUUUUUUUUUUUUUUUUUUUGAGAUGGAGUUUCACUCUUGUUGACCAGGCUGGAGUGCAAUGGCGCCAUCUUGGCUCACCGCAACCUCCGCCUCCCGGGUUCAAGUGAUUCUCCUGCCUCAGCCUCCCCAGUAUCUGGGAUUACAGGUGUGAGCCACUGCGCCCGGCCACCCCCUUUUUUUUUCAAGGCUGCAGUGAGCCAUGAUCCUGUGACUGCACUCCAGCCACUGACAGCCCUUUCUGCAUUAGUUAACCUGACCACAUCUGCUGAAAGAAAGCACCAGAAGCUAGACUGAAAUUUUCGUUGUCAAAAAAAUUAUAAUCCCCCCCAAAAUUUAAAAAUUAUAAUCCAGCACAUUUUCUGCACACAUUUUCUGGGUAUUUGAUCAUAACUUUUAAAAAUGUGAGAACAGUGACAUUCUCCUUCCCCAUUCACCAAUUUUACUAUGAAAAAGUUCAAACCUAGGUUAUUUUUUCAGUUCUCCAAGUGGAAUGAUCAUCACUAAUAGAGAUUGGUUGGGAAUUCUAUUGUGCUUCUAGGCCCCCAAAAAUCUCAUGCUCUGAGGAAAAGUUAGCUGAGUUUUCAAUUUUUCUCAUAGUGCUGGAAAAUCAUCCCUGGACGGUGAAGUCAUCCAAGUCUUUUUUGUUUUGUUUUGUUUUUUCUUUCUUUCUUUCUUUCUUUUUUAAUUUUUGUAUGCUUUGUUUCUAUUUCUUUUUUUUUUUGUCAUCCAAGUCAGCUGGUGAAACACACAAUUUCACUUGAUAGCUACUGAGAGAGUGUAAUGGGCCACCCAUUCUAGAAUUCUCAAGGGCUAGGAAGUUCCUUUGAUACCCUCAUGGGAUUAGGAUUAGGGCUUUAGUCUUUUUCUCUCUCUCUUUUUUUUUUUUUUUUUUUUUUUUUGAUUACAGGCGUGAGCCACCACACCAAGCCCCAUUAUUUAUUUAUUUUAUUUUAUGUAUGUAUGUAUGUAUGUAUGUAUGUAUUUAUUUAUUUUGAGACGGAGUCUCGCUCUAUCGCCCAGGCUGGAGUGCAGUGGCGCAAUCUAGGCUCACUGCAACCUCCGCCUACCGGGUUCAAGUGAUUCUCCUAUGUCAGCCUCCCAAGUAGCUGGGAUUAUAGGCGCCCGCCACCAUGCCCAGCUAAUUUUUGUAUUUUUAGUAGAGACGAGGUUUCACCAUCUUGGCCAGGCUGGUCUUGAACUCCUGACCUUGUGAUCCACCCGCCUCGGCCUCCCAAAGUGCUGGGAUUACAGGCGUGAGCCACCGUGCCUGGCCUAGUGUUUUUCUCACAACUCCACCCCAUCCAGAAUUAAUGACUAAAUCCUUGACUGGAUGAUCAAAGUAAAAGAAUCUAAAUUCACCACAUUGCUAGUCUUUUCUUUUUAUCCAGGCUGUGAAUUAAAUAAGAAAUCUGCUGCAGUGGCUCAUGCCUGUAAUCCCUCCCCUUGGGGAGGCCGAGGCGGGCGGAUCACUUGAGCCCAGGAGCUGGAGACCAGCAUGGGCAACAUGGUGAAACCCUGUAUCUACAAAAAAUACAGAAAAAUUAGCUGGGCAUGGUGGUGUGUGCCUGUAGUCCCAGCUACCUGGGAGGCUGAGGUGGGAAGAUCGCUUGAGCCCAGGAGAUUUAGGCUGCACUGAGCCGUGAUUGCACCCCUGCGCUCCAACCUAAGCGACUGAGAACAUGUCUCAAAAAAAAAAAAACAAAAAAAAAAACACAAAACAAGUUAGAAAUAAUCACAUAACACAUCAGCAUCAAACAGGCCUUUUAAAAUGUCGUUUUUGACCAUCCUGGCUAACACGGUGAAACCCCAUCUCUACUAAAAAUAGAAAAAAUUAGCCGGCCGUGGUGGCGGGCGCCUGUAGUCCCAGCUACUCGGGAGGCUGAGGCAGGAGAAUGGCGUGAACCCGGAAGGCGGAGCUCGCAGUGAGCCGAGAUUGCGCCACUGCACUCCAGCCUGGGCGACAGAGCGAGACUCCGUCUCAAAAAAAAAAAAUGUCAUUUUUGUAUAUGGAUGAUGAGUACAUGAAUGUUCACUGAGGAAUUCUUUGAACUUUUCGUGUUUACAAUUUUUUAUGAUAAAAUGUUGGGGGAAAUGUUACUUUCUUUUUUUUUUUUUUUUUUUUUUUUUUUGAGACGGAGUCUCGCUUUGUCACCCAGGCUGGAUUACAGUGGCAUGAUCUCAGCUCAUGGCAACCUCUACCUCCCAGGUUCAAGCGAUCCUCCUGCCUCAGCCCCCCUAGUAGCUGGGAUUACAGGCAAGCGCCACCACGCCCCGUUAAUUUUUGUAUUUUGUAUUUUUGUAAUUUUGUAUUUUUGUAUUUUGUAUUUACAGGGAUGUCGCCAUGUUACCAGGCUGAUCUUGAACUCCUGACCUCAGGUGAUCCACCUGCCUUGGCCUCCCAAAGCGUUGGGAUUACACGCUCGAGCCACCACACCUAGACCAGAUGUAGGUUUCUAAUAGCUUUCUACAUCCUGAAGGAAAACAGGCAGUGAGGGUGAAAGUUGCUUCAAAUUUUAGAAACUGUGAACAUUCUGUGGAAAUAAAUCCUUAUUAUUUGAGCCUCUUUUUGAAUUAAGGUGUCCAAACCCUUUUGAAUUAACAUAUGAUCCAGCAAUUUUACUUCUAGGUAUGUACACCAAAGAAUAGAAAACAGGGGCCAGGCGCGGUGGCUCACACCUGUAAUCCCAGCACUUUGGGAGGCCGAGGCAGGCAGAUCACUUGAGGUCAGGAGUUCAAGACCAGCCUGACCAACAUGGAGAAACCCCGUCUCUACUAAAAAAAAAAAAAAAAAAAAAAUUAUCUAUAUAUAUAUUUAUACAUAUAUAUAUAUAAAAUUAGCCAGGCAUGGUGGCGCAUACCUGUCAUCCCAGCUACUUGGGAGGCUGAGGCAGGAGAAUCACCUGAACCCAGGAGGCAGAGGUUGUGGUGAGCUGAGAUUGCGCCUUUGCAGUCCAGACUGCGCAACAAGAGCGAAACUCAGUCUCAAAAAAAAAAAAAAGGAAAACAGAAACUUAAGCUGAUAUUUGCACACCAAUAGCAGCAUUAUUCCCAUAGACAAAAGGUGGAAACCAGCAAUGACCAUCUAAAAAUAAAUGGAUAGGCCGGGCGCCGUGGCUCAGCACUUUGGGAGGCUGAGGCAGGAGGAUCACUUGAGGUCAGGAGCUUGAGACCAGCCUGGCCAACAUGGUGAAACCCUGUCUCUACUAAAAAUACAAAAAUUAGCCAGGAUUGGUGGCACGCACCUGUAAUCCCAGUUAGUUACUCGGGAGGCUGAGACAGGAGAACUGCUUGAACCCCAGAGGCGGAGGUUGCAUGGGCUGAGAUUGAGUCUAUGUACUCCAGCUUGGGCAACAGAGCGAGACUCCCCCUCAAAAAAAAAAAAAAAAAGGAUAAACAGUUGGUCCGGGCGGCAGCUCAUGCCUAUAGUCCCAGCACUUUGGGAGGCCAAGAUGGGAGGAUCACUUGGGCCCAGGAGUUCGAGACCAGCCUGGGCAACAUGGUGAGAUCCUGUCUGUACGAAAAAUACAGAAAGUAUCCAGCUGAAGUGGGAGGAGGAUCACUUGAGGCCUGGAAGCAGAGGUUGAAGUGAGCUGAGAUCGCGCCACUGCAUUCCAGCCUGGGCGACAGAGCCAAAAGCUGUCUCAAAAAAGAAUGAAUGGGACCGGGCGCGGUGGCUCACGGCUGUAAUCCCAGCACUUUGGGAAACCAAGGCGGGUGGAUCACCUGAGGCCAGGAGUUCAAGACCAGCCUGACCAACAUGGUGAAACCCCGUGUCUACUAAAAAUAAUCCCAGCUCCUCGGGAGGCUGAGGCAGGAGAAUCGCUUGAACCUGGGAGGCGGAGGUUGAUCUCGCCAUUGCGCUCCAGCCUGGGCAACAAAAGCAAAACUUCGUCUCAAAAAAAAAAAUAGACAAGAAUAAAUGGGCUGGGUGAAGUGGCUCACACCUGUAAUUCCAGCACUUUGGGAGGCCGAGGCAGGCAGAUCACGUGAGGUCAGGAGUUUGAGACCAGCCUGGCCAACAUGGUGAAAUCCUGUCUCUACUAAAAAUACAAAGAGUGGUGGCAUGCAUCUGUAAUCCCAGCUACUUGAGAGAUGGAGGCAGGAGAAUCGCUUGAAUCCGGGAGGCAGUGGUUGCAAUGAGCCGAGAUCAUGCCACUGCACUCCAGCCUGGGCAACAAGAGCAAAAACUCCAUCUCAAAAAAAAAAAAAGAUAACAUCUCAUACAGUGAAAUAUUAUUCAGCCAUAAAAUUAAUGAAUUCCUGAUAUAUACUACAACAUGGAUGAACCUUAAAAACAUUAUUCUGAAUGAAAUAAGACUGACCUCAAGGACAAAUAUUGUAUGAUUCCAUUUAUAUAUAUAUAAAGUACUCACAAAGUCAUAGAGAUAGAAAGUAGAAAAGAGGUUGCCACGGGGGCUGGAGGAGAAGGGAACAGGGAGUAAGGGUUUAAUGGGUACAGAGUCUCAGUUUCCACCCUUGGGCAUGAAAGAUAAAGUUCUGGAGGUAAGUAGUGAUGAUGGUUACACAACAAUGUGAACAUAUUCUAUGCCAGUGAAUUUACACUUAAGGUUAAAAUGGUAAAUUUUAUGUAUACUUUGGCAUAAUUUAAAAAAAAGUUUGAAAAAGAAAAAAGACAAAACAAUAAUCGUCUUUGGAGAAGUCUGUUACACUGAAUCUGGAGCCAAGUGAACAGAACCCUGAUUUUGAUCCCUUUUCUCUCAAAAGCCCUUCGCAGUCUCUGAAUUAAGUCUAUUAGCAUGUUCCUCCCAUAGUGCUUUGCUUCAUAUCAACAAAAACCUAGCUAAGUGAAAUCAGCAACGAUAUGCAGAAACCACCUACGCAGGUCACAAACAUCUUUCUAUGAUUGUAUAAUUUUCAAGCAAGCAAUAAGUGAAGAUUUUUCCAUAGGCCCUAAACUCACCUUUGCGAAAUAGGAAGCUGGUUUAUUGGGAGUGAUGAGCAGGGGGCGUAACAAAUUAGCUUUGCGCAGUGGCAGUAUCGUAGCCAAUGAGGUCUAUCCGAGGCGCGAUUAUUGCUAAUUGAAAACUUUUCCCAAUACCCCGCCGUGACGACUUGCAAUAUAGUCGGCACUGGCAAUUUUUGACAGUCUCUACGGAGACUGAAUUUUCUUGCAGUUGAACAACAGAGGCUUUUUUUGUGUGUGUGGGGGUGCUUGGUUUUGGGAGGUUGAAGAGUACUUGUUCGCAAACUCUCUAAAUGAGAGAUGGGGAAGUGUCUUACCAGCUGAUUCGCGAGAGCACCUGCAAGUUUACCUGUUUUAGUGAUUUGCGUUUAUGAAAGUUGGAGUUGCUGAUUUUGUGAUCUCUACUUUUAAGGUAAAAGCAGGGCGGUGUUGACUUUUCUUGCCAGUUGGCUGUCCUGUUUUCUUUCUCGCACUGUUUUCUUUUUGAGACGAAGUCUGUCGCUCAGGCUGGAGUGCACUGGCGUGAUCUCGGCUCGCUGCAAACUUUGCCGAACCCCUGUUUAGCGAUUUCCGUUUGUGAAAGUUGGAGUUGCUGAUUUUGUGAUCUCUACUUUUAAGGUAAAUGCAGGGCGGUGUUGACUUUUCUUGCCAGCUGGCUGUCCUGUUUUCUUUCUCUCGCACUGUUGUUUUCUUUUUGAGACGAAGUCUGUCGCUCAGGCUGGAGUGCACUGGCGCGAUCUCGGCUCGCUGCAAACUGCCGCCCGGGUUCAAGCGAUUCUCGUGCCUCAGCCUCCCGACUAGCUGGGAUUACAGGCGCCUGCCCACCGCACCCCGCUGAUUUUUUUGUAUUUUUAGUAGCGACCCCGUUUCACCAUCUUGUCCAGGCUGGUCUUGAACUCCUGACCUCGUGAUCCACCCGCCUCGGCCUCCCAGAGUGCUGGGAUUACAGGCGUGAGCCACCGCGCCCAGCCGUGUUCUCCAUUCAGAUUUUGUCACAGUGACGUCCUAAAAUUAUUCCCAACUCCCCCCACCCUGCUGUUUCCGCACCCUCGAGCACAGCUAGUCGUCCGUCUGCGCCCUCCAGGCUCGCUUUCCCACUGCUCACUCUCCUCGCUCAAAAUUCAAGUCUCAACCGAGUCAUCUCUGUGACGUCACGUUGAUUUGCAUAAGAUUCCCCAGCGUCCCAAGCGAAUAUUCUUAUGGUUUUCAAAACCUGAAUGUUUGACACGGGAUGUUCCAACAACAAGAAACCUCCUAUGCAGAUGGGCCUUAAAUACGGCUGGUGGAGUGGGAACACGUCGUAUACACGGACACACGGGCAGGCACUCACCCUCAAUGUAAUGGUAGUCAUCAUCCGUGGGGGAGCGGGGCGCGAACAGAACCUUUCCAGCUUUGCGCAGUGGCAGUAUCGUAGCCAAUGAGGUUUAUCCGAGGCGCGAUUAUUGCUAAUUGAAAACUUUUCCCAAUACCCCGCCAUGACGACUUGAAAUAUAGUCGGCAUUGGCAAUUUUUGACAGUCUCUACGGAGACUGAAUUUUUAAAAGUCUAAAGAAAAGGGUUUUAGGAAGUUGUAUUAUAGCAGGUUGUGUCUUAUGUUUGGUUUGAUAAGUUAUGAGCUGUUCCUAUGAUAGUUUUUUGGUUGUUGUUCAGGAGUAUUCCGUGAUUGAAUGUCCGGGGUUCUGUGCGGGUACUGUGAGUUGUUUUCCAAAAUGUAUGACACUAUGUUGGGAACUGGGUUCUAACUAAGACAGUUAUCGUUAAUCUUUUUUAUCCAAAUGCAGCCAGCGAGUGAGCUACUCCACUUCCUUUGUCACUGAAGGUCACAGAUUCCCUUAAAGGGAAGGGGAACUCUAAAACUAACACAUUAAUACAUCCAAAGUCUUCCUUUUUUUUUUUUUUUUUUUUUUUGAGACGGAGUUUUCGCUGUUUCCCAGGCUGGGGUACAGUGGCGCGAUCUCGGCUGACUGCAACCUCCACAUUCCGGGUUCAAGCGAUUCUCUGUCUCAGCCUCCGGAGUAGCUGGGAUUACGGGAGCCCAACAUCACGCCCGGCUCAUUUUUGUAUUUUUAGUGGAGACGGGGUUUCGCCUUCUUGGCCAGGCUGGUUUCAAACUCCUGACCUCAGGUGAUCCGCCUACCUCGGCCUUCCGAAGUGCUGGGAUUACAGGUGUGAACCACCGCGUUUUCUUCCUUUUAAAGCGACCAAGAGGGAAAAAGGCACAGAAGAUUGCUCAGGUCCUACUGUGGAGUCCUCGGCAGAGCUGGGGCUUAUCAGGUUCUCUUGCCCCUAGUGUGGUACUUGUUCCCACUACACCAGCCUCUUCCAGUCUUACCUUUUUACGAAGACCUGGGCUGUCCAUGGACAGAGGUCCUCAGGAGUCACAACUCUGGGCAUGGCGGAUCCAGCUGGACCUGCUUAGGACACCGCCCAUAAAAGACUCCUCCAGCCUGUAGCAAAAAGAGGUGGCAAAAAGGGUGGCAACAGUACCUACAAGGUCAAAGACGGUGCUGGGAAAAACAGCUCCAGUGGCAAAUUAAACUCAGUCCCCAGUUCAAGGACCUCACAGACUGGAGACGUGGAGGCGAAGGUAGCAGUGAGCUGAAAUUGCGCCACUGCACUCCAGCCUGGGUGACAGUGAGACUCUGUCUCAAAAAAAAAGAAAAAAGAAAGAAGAAGAAGCCGGGAGCGGUGGCCCACGCCUGUCAUCCCAGCACUUUGGGAGGCCAGGGCGGGCAGAUCACGAGGUCAGGAGUUCAAGACCAGCCUGGCCAACAUGGUGAAACCCUAUCUCUACUAAAAAUACAAAAAAAAAAAAAAAAAAAAAAAAUUAGCCAGCCAUGGUCGUGGGCGCCUGUAAUCCCAGCUACUCGGGAGGC
rnacentral:lncRNA from 1 species